UGGGGGAUAUUGCGGCAAUGGGGGGCAACCCUGACGCAGCAACGCCGCGUGAAGGAUGAAGGUUUUCGGAUUGUAAACUUCUUUUAUUAAGGACGAAAAAUGACGGUACUUAAUGAAUAAGCUCCGGCUAACUACGUGCCAGCAGCCGCGGUAAUACGUAGGGAGCAAGCGUUGUCCGGAUUUACUGGGUGUAAAGGGUGCGUAGGCGGCUUUGCAAGUCAGAUGUGAAAUCUAUGGGCUCAACCCAUAAACUGCAUUUGAAACUGUAGAGCUUGAGUGAAGUAGAGGCAGGCGGAAUUCCCCGUGUAGCGGUGA
rnacentral:rRNA from 1 species